GCAGCUCUGCAAAGAAGUGAUUGGCUUUGACUAUGCAUCUCAUACCAUUGCUCCCCUUCCCUGGACGCAGGGGAAACCGUAGUGAUUUGCUUGAUGCAGGUGGAACUGCUUGCGUUGGAGCCGCUUCUUGCUGCAAAGCAAGUUGCUGGAACUGUUGUGUCACUUGUAGAGCUGCCUGCUCAGGUGGCUGAGAUGAGGAACCAGCUUCAGAGGAUGUUUCAGUUGGUCUUACAUAAGGUAUAGGCUGAGUAGUCAUUGCAGCUUGAUAUGGAGUCUGGGAGGUAGCUUGGUGCAGCUCGGGUGCUGGUGGCCUAGAAGGCCCACCAGAAGGUGCCCCACGGCCACCUAUGCCACCAUGUUGCUGGGGUGGUCCUCCGCCUCGUUGAUG
rnacentral:lncRNA from 1 species